rnacentral:rRNA from 1 species
UGGGGAAUUUUGGACAAUGGGGGAAACCCUGAUCUAGCCAUCCCGCGUGUGCGAUGAAGGCCUUCGGGUUGUAAAGCACUUUUGGCAGGAAAGAAACGUCAUGGGUUAAUACCCCGUGAAACUGACGGUACCUGCAGAAUAAGCACCGGCUAACUACGUGCCAGCAGCCGCGGUAAUACGUAGGGUGCAAGCGUUAAUCGGAAUUACUGGGCGUAAAGCGUGCGCAGGCGGUUCGGAAAGAAAGAUGUGAAAUCCCAGAGCUCAACUUUGGAACUGCAUUUUUAACUACCGGGCUAGAGUGUGUCAGAGGGAGGUGGAAUUCCGCGUGUAGCAGUGAAAUGCGUAGAUAUGCGGAGGAACACCGAUGGCGAAGGCAGCCUCCUGGGAUAACACUGACGCUCAUGCACGAAGGCGUGGGGAGCAAACAGG